rnacentral:rRNA from 1 species
GGGGGGGGGGGGACCUACACAUGCAAGUCGAGCGGUAACACAGGGAGCUUGCUCCUGGGUGACGAGCGGCGGACGGGUGAGUAAUGUCUGGGAAACUGCCUGAUGGAGGGGGAUAACUACUGGAAACGGUAGCUAAUACCGCAUAACGUCGCAAGACCAAAGAGGGGGACCUUCGGGCCUCUUGCCAUCAGAUGUGCCCAGAUGGGAUUAGCUAGUAGGUGGGGUAACGGCUCACCUAGGCGACGAUCCCUAGCUGGUCUGAGAGGAUGACCAGCCACACUGGAACUGAGACACGGUCCAGACUCCUACGGGAGGCAGCAGUGGGGAAUAUUGCACAAUGGGCGCAAGCCUGAUGCAGCCAUGCCGCGUGUAUGAAGAAGGCCUUCGGGUUGUAAAGUACUUUCAGCGGGGAGGAAGGUGUUGAGGUUAAUAACCUCAUCAAUUGACGUUACCCGCAGAAGAAGCACCGGCUAACUCCGUGCCAGCAGCCGCGGUAAUACGGAGGGUGCAAGCGUUAAUCGGAAUUACUGGGCGUAAAGCGCACGCAGGCGGUCUGUCAAGUCGGAUGUGAAAUCCCCGGGCUCAACCUGGGAACUGCAUUCGAAACUGGCAGGCUAGAGUCUUGUAGAGGGGGGUAGAAUUCCAGGUGUAGCGGUGAAAUGCGUAGAGAUCUGGAGGAAUACCGGUGGCGAAGGCGGCCCCCUGGACAAAGACUGACGCUCAGGUGCGAAAGCGUGGGGAGCAAACAGGAUUAGAUACUUUGU